rnacentral:lncRNA from 1 species
ACUGCAAUCACCGCUGGAUCGGGCUGCGCGGUGAGUGUGAACCAGUUCCUCUCGGCUAUCAUGACUGCCAUGUCGCCAUCCUUUGAUUGAUCCACGUUCCGGAACUAAUGAGCGAGUAGCCAUGCGGUUGUAUCGUUCCUGAGCCGCAAGACUGACAAAACGGUGGCUGUCAAAUCUCGGAGGGGCAGAUACGGAACCUGAACCUUCACCACUCUAACGUUUGGAUGCCAUGUCAGAAAUUCUGCAAUUACAAACAUAUAUAUGCAUUAGCAUUGAACAGAAUGUGAAUGUGGAUAAACUUAUGUAUGACUUUACCCCCAAACUUUAGAAUAUGAGUAUAUGUUGAGUACAAUGUUGGGGAUGAAGUAUAAGGAUGGCAAUCACAUCGAAUAUGUUCCCGCACUAUUAAAAUUCUGCAUUUUGAGAGCAACAUACAUAAAUCUUCCACAAAGUGUGUCGUGCGAAGCAACAUGUUCUAGAGUAUGCAUCAAUACCAUGUAAAUCUUCCCAUAAAACUAUGUUUGUGUGGACAUCAGUUUGAUAGUAUGACGGUGUCAAGGUAGGUCACAAACAAUGUGCAUGUAGGCUUGAUAUGCUUGAAUUUAGACAUGAUCAUUGACUUAGGCAAUUCAUCAAACAUCUAAGAGGCAACUCAUAAAUUACUUAGAAUCUCACUAAGUUACUAUCAAUUCCUACCUCUUAUCUGUCAAAAAUAUCCCAUGAAUGCAAUCUUUACUUACAAGGGAGCAAAUUAUGGCCAUUAUGUAUUAUAGAAUCAUGAACCCUUAUUUCAAGAUAAAGGAUGAUGCAUAUCCGGAUGAAGAACACUCACCAAUUACAUCAAUAACCAUGCUUCUUGCACAAAAAUGGAAUUAUAGCAUACAACAUACCUUGGUAGAUGAUCGUGAGAGAGAGAUGAGAAUUAUGGCACUAGGACAGGAACUUAUCCCUAGAAUUUGAUUUGCAACACUUACGAUUUUCGGUGGUGCUAAUUGAGAGAAAUAGAGUCGUGUAUGAGAGGGAGGGGUGGAGACGUGUGAGUGGAAUUAGAGGGGAAAAGAGUUUUAAAUAAAGGAGUAUAAUCGUCCGGCAAUUUGAGUUCACAUGGGAAUCUGGAACGCACCCUCAUCGUCGGGGCGCUGAGGUUUGGCUUGCAACGAGCGCCGGGGCACUGGGCUUCAGAGUCUGGCACCGGGCUUCAGCGCCGGGGCACUGUGUUCUAGUUCAAAUGGAGCGUCGGGGCGCUUGAGUGCAGUAUCUGAAGGUCAUGGUUAGCGUCGGGGCGCUUGAUUUACACUACGAGCCAGCGCCGGGGCGCUCUUGUGCAGCGUCUGCUGAAUUGGGCUAGCGUCGGUGCGCUUCGUAUAAGGGCAAUUCGAGCGCCGGGGCGCUAUUCGGCAGGCACCUCAUGCUUGUCUGGACUAUACGUUGAAGCUUCAUUAUACACGCACACGAAUCUGCAUCCAUGAGACACAUUCAGGUUGAGUUACCCACACUGUUGAAAGCAAUAC